CCAAUGAUCGGUGUCUGUGAGCGUCCAGAACUGUGAAGAUGGUUUCCCUGAGGUCUCUGCUCUGUGUGAUGUAUCUUUACAUACAAGUUUCCUGUGGAGAGAUUGUGAUGACUCAGACUCCAGAUUAUACCUCCGUGUCCCCAGGAGACACAGUCACCAUGUUGUGUAAGGCCAGUGAAAGCGUCUAUUCCAGUGGAAAUUCCAAAGAUUAUUUACACUGGUACCAGCAGAAAUCCGGGCAGCCUCCAAAGCUUCUCAUGUAUCUUGCCAGCACUCGAAAAUCAGGAGUCCCAGACCGAUUCCCUGGAUCUGGAUCUGGAACAGAUUACACUCUGACAAUCAGAGGAGUGACAGAAGACGAUACAGGACAUUAUUACUGUCAGCAGGGUUUGAGCAAUCCUCUCACACAGUGAUACAGAGCCGUACAA